GGAAUUACAGUUCUAUAUAAUCUCUUCUCUUAAUUAGAGAUCACAAGCUAAUUGUUUAGCAAUUAAACACUUGUUUAUAAGGAAAUAUAAAUUUCUAGAUACAUAUGGUUACUACUUACCUCUACUUUAUCAUUUAGGUAAAAAAGUUUCUAAAAAGAAUUUGAAAGUAUUUACUAUUGCUGUGAAAAAAAUAUUUUUAAGAAAUAAAAUGAUAAUUGUAAACAUAAUAUUGUAAAGUAAAAGAUCUAAUGAUGGAUAAAAAGAUAACUUUAUUAAAAAAACAUUUUUUUCUAAAGCCAAAAGCUAAAAUUUUUGGCUUUUUGACUUGGGUUAAAAUCCCAUUUUAAAGUUUGAAAAGGUAUUUCUUUAUCCAAAUUUUUAGUUUAAAAUUAAACAAAGUCUUAAUAGAGUGGAGAUACAUUUUUUUUAAAAUGUAAAAACUAUAAAAAUAAUAAAAUUAAAAUUUUUUGAAAAUCUUCACUAGUAAUUUAUUAAUGUAAUUCCUCUAAUUCAUGACUUGGAUGAAGUUAUUGAUCUCCCGCUAUUUUUAGAAUCAAAUUGAAUUAGUCAAUCGAACUAUUGGAUUAGAAAUCGGUUGAGAUACUGAUUUAGAAUAAGGGGUCAGAUUGGUUAACUUGUGAAUCGAUUGAACAGGUUAAACCGACAGUUGAAUCUAUUUUUCUAUUUUUACUUUUUUUUUUUAAAAUUUAUACAAUCGAACCGGACAAAUCGAAUUUAUCUCUAAGAGAUUAAGGAUAUCCUAUGAGGGUAACACACUUACGAUAAGGUUAUUGGACGAGCAUUGAUCGAGUUGCUUUCGUAAUGAUAUGUCAUAAGGGAAAGCUCAGUCACGAUACUAUAAUGGGAUGACUUCAUUACUAAAUUAGUUUAUAAUUAAUAGGUGGUGAAAAGCUGGAACUUAUUUAUAAAUCAUUUGAGCCCUAAUCACAUAUAUCCAAUCGGUCCCUUCGCUAUCUUGUUGAAAUCAGAAAUGAAUUGCAAAUUGAAUAAAUUAACAGAAAUGGAUAGAAAUGGGAACAUUCAGGAAUGAAUGUGAUUUUCUCACUAAAAAUGGAAAUGGUUUGAGAAUUAAUUUGUAACAAUCCGUUUUCAAUGGUGUUAAAAAUAGUGAUUUCGGGAUCACAAAUCCGACGAAUGAGUCCAUAAAUAUUAUUAUUUAAUAUUUACGAGUCAAAUAUAGUAUUAUAUAGAAUUGUUAUCGGAUAAUUUUUGCUAUUUAAAUAUAUAGUUAAGUACAAGUGGUUUGUCCUUAUAAUCAAGUGGUUUCAGAAAAUGAGGUAUCAAAACCUCAUUUAUAUAAACCGAACCCGUAACAAAUAUUUUUAUAAAAUAUUUUCAGAGUGAUUAUAUAGAUAUAUUGAAGUUUGGUCCGAAAAUUUUAGUGAUUUGAUAGCUAAUUAAAGAAAAAUGAUUAAAUCGUAAAAGUGGUAAAAAUUAAUUGGUAUUGAUUAUUAUUAACUAAAAUGUUUAAAUAGUUAAAGUGAGAGGAUCUUUAUGAAAAUUAGACCAUAAUUUUGAUAGGGAACGACAUUAGGUGAAUUUUAUAAUGAAAUUUCAAUUAAAAUAAAGUUAAAAUAAAAUAAAUAAAACUUAAAACAUAAAAGAAGAAGAAGAAGAAGAAACAUCAUCUUCUUCUUUUAUCCCUUGUGAUCGAAACCAUGGAAAUGAAAGCUUGAAGCAUUUUAUUUGUUUGGCGAUUGCAUGUAAGUGUUAUUUUUGUCGAUUUUUUUGUAAAUUUUAUAUUUUUCAAGUCAUUGUAAUUUAAACUAUCUAGUCUAGGGGCUAAUUUGUGACAGUUGUCAAAUUUUGGAAAAUUUAUCAUUUUCGUUUUUGAAGCUUUUUAAUUGCUAAUGUUUUGGUUGGAAGCUUGAUAGUGAAUUUGAGCUAGUUUGUAAAGUAAUUUGUAUAGUUUUUAAGUUAAAGGAUUUAAUUAAAAAGUAUGUGAAAUUUGGAAGGGUUUUGUUGAAAAAAUUCAGAAUUUAAGGGCUGCUUUUAUAUGGUUAAAGGUUCAGUAAAAAUUGGGUUUAUGAAUUAAUUGUGAAAAUAGACUCAUUUUAAUAUUAAGGACUAAAUUGAAUAAAAUGUAAAAGUUUGGGACAAAUGUGAAAAUUAUAAAUAGGAAAUCAUAUGCACUAAAUUGAAUAUUAUAUAAAAUUGAGGCUAAUAAGUUGAAAUAAAAUCAGGGGAAAGUUGCUGACUUGACCUUAAACUUUUACUAUUUCUGCAAUCUAGCCCUAGUAAGUUCUUACGGUUUAAAUUAGAAUAAUUUGUAAUAUUAUAUUGACUUGUAAAUUAUGAUUUGUUGAAUAUUCGUAUUUUUUAGUAUGUCUCAUAUUUCAGUCAAAUUUGAGAGAUAAUCUCCCAGUUAAACUUUGUUUAUUUAUUUCAAUCGAACUCUGAUUAGUCUAGAUUAUUCUCUUAUUAUUUGACUUAUGAAUUUAGCCUAUAAAUAGUCUCUUUUAAAACCUUAGAAAAUACACACAUUAAAAUAUUAGAACUCAUAACACUUUUGUAGAAUUUUGUGUUUACGUCUUUAGGUUUCUUUCUUUUUGGGUUUUGGGGUUUAAAUUUUAUCUCCAUCUUUCGUACUCUUCGUUCUUUUACCAUUAUAGUAAAAUUAUUUUUUCCUAUGUUUUUUUUAUCCUCUUUGGAGGGAUUUUUCCACAUUAAAAUUGUGUGUUCAAUUUCUCAAUUUCUUCCGCUAUAUUUUUCUUGUUCGUUGUUUAACCGAGUCAAUCCCCAACACGCAUAUAUAUAUUUGUAUAAUGCUAUAAUCAUAAAGUUAAUUCAAGGUGAGAAAUGUAAUUGAUUUGUAAAAUAUAAUGUGAUUACUUAUAUUGAACCCGGAUGAACAUAUGAUAGGAUACAAUUGGCAUGCCAAUAAGUUAUAUUGUGCGCUGUAUGGGAUUGACUUAUGAUGAGAUGAUAAUUCCUGACUUGUUAUUGUCCGUUGAAUAUAUCGGAGUCCAACAUUUGUUGCAGACUACCUGUUACAUUUACAUGAUUCUGGCGUGUUACCGGGGCGAAUGUGAAGCCUUCGGGCUUGACAUUUGGUGCCAAGAUGUGUUUCAGAGGGAUGUUAGCCUAUGAGCUAGGCACUUGAUACCCAAGUGUGUUCUCAGUUGGUUUGACUUGUUUGAGCGUUCUAGUAUGUUCUAGAUGGUUGUGGUUGAUCAGAUUAUACAAUAUGUGUAUAAACAUGAAGACUCACCUGUGGAAUGGUUGUGGUUGACAGGAUUAUUGUUUAUUAAUUAUUAUAGUAUAAUUGAUAUGUUUAUAAGGUCAGUCUGAUCGUUUCGACCUUUGAACCUACUAAGCUCUAUUGAAGCUUACUCGUGUCAUUUUUCCUGUUUCUUUUACAGUAAAGUUGUCAUGAUUUUAACACAAUCAAAUUCGGGUUGAAAAAAUUAUUUAAUUGGGAAAUUAAUUUAUUUAAAUUAAUUUAUGAUGUUUAUUUUGGAAAAUAGGAAAAUAUGUAUUGGGUUGGAUUGAAUUAUAAAGUAUUGGGUUAAAAGUCUAGGAAGCACUUAUAAUUGGACUCAAUAUAAGAAAGGAUCAAAUCCUCAUCAUAUUACAUAUGAGUGAAAGCACACCCUAUUAGCAGCUUCUCUCUCUCCUAGCUCAACUAGGAAGUUGUUUUUCUAUAAAAUAGAUUUCAACUAAUUCAACAAAGGGUUCACUUAUUGUCUCUAGAUGAUACCGAUAGGACUAAAUACACAAUAAGUUUUACACAGCUUUAAGAUAUUUUUGUUCUGCUCGAAAAUAGUGAGAAUUUAUUUCUAAGUACAAAUUUUGUUUCCAGAAUAACAAUUCUAUCGAUUUCUAUUAAUGAGAGAUUUUUGUUUUCCCACUAAAAGUAAAAUAAAUAAUUUCUGGUUGUGUUUGAUUUGAAUUUGUUCGAGCCCACACUCAAAGCAGUUAGUGGUACGAGAGUAGCGGAGAAGGUCAUUCCGUUGAAAGCCGAGAACAAGAAUGAUCCGUAUCGCCGAAAACACAGGUGUGAUUUCAGGAAAAGUUGAUUGCUAUAAACAUCAUAAUCCGGCUUGAUUUUUAAAAUUUUAAUUUUUCAUUGUGUGAAAAAUCAUUUUCGAACCGGAUUUUUUCCAACAAAUCAAUUUAAUUAAUGGUGUUACAAAAAUGCCAUUACAUGUAUAAAAUAAUUUAUAUUAUCAUGAGGGUACAUUUAUCUUUUUAAUAAAACUAGUAAAAAUUUUACAUAUGGUAAUAUUUGAACUCAUGCUAUCAACAUUUACAAAAACUUAUUUUACCAUUUCAACCAAAGUUUUAUUUUGAUAAUUUUAUACAUUUUAAUAUUCUUACACAAUUUCUUCGACGUCGUUUGUAUAUAUAUCGAUAAUCUUUACUAAUUUAAAACCCUGAUUGAGUUUCAUGUUACUAGUCAAGUGAGACCAACUCAAUUAAUGAAUCUCUACUAAUAUUAAAGCCUUGAUUGAGUUUGGUAUUAGGAGUCAAGUGACACCAAUUCAAUUGAUGAAAUUACGAAAAUAAUAUUACACAUUUUGAAUAAAUUAUGUUAUUAAAAGGGUAUUUUUUAUUAUCUUUUUUCUUAUUUCAAUAAAACCAAUAUAAAAUUGCAAGUAUUAAGAUUUGAACCCAUGCCAUUAGAAGCUCUACUAUUAUUAAAGGUCAGAGAGAGUUUGGUGUCAUGGCUUAAGUGACAGCAACCCAAUUAAUAAAAUUAUGAAAAAAACCUUACAUAUUUUGAAUAAGUAAUAUUAUUGCGAUGAUACUUUUAUUUUUUUUCGUAAAAUUGAUAAAAAAUUUACAAAUAUUGAAAUUUCAAACAAUGAAACAUUAACUUUACCAUUGCAACAAAAGUUUUGUUUUAAUUUAUUUUGUACAUUUUAACAUUUUUAUGCAAACUUUAUUACAUCUAUCAAUUGUAUAUCUCUAUUAUUAUUAAAGCCCUAACUUAGCCUAGUGUAAUGAGUCAAAUGACAUCAACUUAGUUGAUGAAAUUAUGAAAACAACCUUAUAAAUUUUGACUAAAUUAUAUUAUUACGAUGGUGCUUUUUCCUUUUUUUUAUUUUUAUUAAAACCAAUAAAAAUUGCAAAUAUUGAGAUUUGAACUCUUUUCAUAUAUUUCAUUGUUUAUUGUAAACGUACAUCUAUUGUUUAAAUAUGUAAUUUUUACACGUACAUGCAUAUAGUAGAAUUAAAAAUAUAUAUAAUGUUAAAAGGUGAGGGUUAAAUCUUGUUGGAAGACUAUUUUAAUUUUAUAAAAAAAUCUGAGAUUGUUUUAUUUUCACUUUAAUACCUAAAAUUUUCAUUGAUGGUGGAUUUUUUUUAUAUAUAUUUUGCUAGUGACAAUGAUGUAGCACCAAUUUUAUUAAAGAAUAUUAAAUGUUAAAUAUACUAAAAUCAAAAUUUUAUUUUUUUUUGUUUAAAUGAGAGGGAGUGUGAUUAAAGGUGAAAUUAUUAAUUAUAUAAAAAAUAAGAUUAUAAAUAAAAUAAAAUAAAACUUUAGAAAAAACAAAUAAAUGUAUGGCAUAUUAAAAAAUUAAAAUAUAAAAGAAAGAAGAGAAAUUACAAUUUAAGUAAUAACAAAUAAUUUCCAAAAAUUACAAUUAUUAAUUGAUGUUAUGUUUUGUAGCAAAUAUAGUAAUGUAACUGAUGGGUAUCUAAUCCAAUAUUAAAACUGGACUAAUCAAAAUUAAAAUAAUUUUGCACCAAAUUUGUUGUGCCUAAAACUUGCACAAACCUGCCACAAUCAACAAAAAGGGGUUAAAUUGUUGAAAAAAUAGUAAAUAAAAUUUAUUUCACAGUCACCAAUUUAAUAAAAGCUUCAACCUUAUGGACAGUUAAUAUUUUCUCACUUCUCAUCAAACAACAAUCUUAUACCACCAAUCCUUCCUUACUUGCUCGAUAAUUAACUAAUGCCUAACGAACAACCUUAUAAUUUAAUUUUUUGACAAGAAAAACUUUAAUGCUAAAGUAGCAUUUAAUAUAAUAGAAAGUGAUAGCUUUCUUGAAAAUUUAAUUAGUUAAAAAGUGAUUUCAACGUUUGAUAUCUUAAAUUUUUUUAUUUUUUAUUUUACCUUUUUUUUUUGUAGUCUUAACUUUCUCAUAAACAUGAUAAUACAAUUCCCAUGAUAAAAUGUGAAAAAAAAAUUCUCAUGUAAGUUAGAAAGUUAAAAAAUUAUUUAGCACAAAAUUAACUUUAUUUUAUAUUAAUUUAAUUUAGCGUAUUAAUCUAUUAAAUGUAGAAAAAAAAGUUAUUACCUCCUUACUCUUACAAACUCUCUUAUUAUCUCUUAUUAUUUCAACUGUUACUUCAAAAGUAAUUUUUUUUUCUAAUUUUAUUUUCAAUAUUUGCAUAAUAUAUUAUUUACAUGUUAUUUUAUUUUCUAUUAUUUUCCUCUCUUUCCCUUUUUGAUAUAUUAAUUAAAAUUUCAAUUGCAUUAUAGUAUUCGUUUUCUAUAUAUGCAGGAUUUUUUAUAUUCAGAAAAAAACAUUAAGAUAAAUUCAAAAUAUUUUUUAAUUAAAAUAAUACUUUUAAAAAUGAUCAAUUAAACUAUUAUUAAAUAUUUAAUCCAAAGAUUCAUUACUAAUGAAUUUUAUUGUAAAAUAUUAUUAAAUAUUUAAUCCAAAGAUUCAUUACAUUUUAAAAAAAGUAUUUAGUGAACCAAACAUGAUAAUAUAACUUUCCAGCAAUUUUUAUAAAUACUUUUUAAUGUAUACCAAACCUUGCAAAAUAAUAUUUCUAACAAUCACAUUCCUUAAAAUCAUAACAUGUGAAAAUACCAAACACUACCUAAUAAAUAAAUUCAUCUGCAUGGAUCAAAUUAUAUGGUAAUUAUGGAUCAAAUUAUUUUUACCAACUAUAUGUUAUUUCGAGCAUCAAAUAAGAAGCCGAGAAAAAAUUAGAAAAGAAAAUUACUAAAUUCCGGAACUAAUAUGAAAAAAGAAAUUAUAAACUAAAUUGAGAAAAAAAAAAUCCAAAUUAGGGAAUGAAGAAUGCUUUCCCCCACUAAACUUCCCCUGCCAUUAACCAUGUCUAUUUUCUUCAUUAUAACAGGUUAUGAACAUGUAACAAUAAUUUGUUUUAUUAAGGAAUAGGGAUUAAAAAGUAUGAUUAAUAUCAAUUAAAAACUUAUGUAGACUUACAUUUAUGCUAAUUGAUUGGAGCUUUUCCAUGGGCAAAAGAGACAAUCCAUUAGUUUGAACAGUCAUGUUGAAUGAUGAGUUAUUAUUCUAAUCUUUAUAAGCUUAACCCCAUUAGGAAACAAAUUUGUUCACAUAAAAAAAAACUGAAAUAUAUCUAUAAUUUUAGUCAAACUUACCUUAAAGGAAUUAGAUUCUAUAAACUAUAGGCCUGCACAAAAGUUGAGCAUCAUAUCUUGAAGAGAUAAAUAGUUCAAUGGCAUAAAGGAUUAUAGUAAUCUAUCAAACGCAUAUAGAGAAAGAAAGUUAAAAAUAUGAAGAUAAAUGUAUAUUAAAUGAGAAGAUAUAAGAGAAUUGGUCCUCAGAUGUGACAUAGCUGCAGAGUUGUGGUCGGGCGGCGCCCGCCCUUGGUAUUUAUGCUUUGGUUCAGAGAAACUAGGAUACCUCUUAUAAAUAACCUUAAAAAAACAUAAUAUUGAAUCUUUCAUACCUUACACUUGUAUUAGGAAUAUAUGUAUAUAUAUCUACACACCAUUAUUUUUCUUUAUCAAAUAUUAUUCAUUUGAGUGCCAAAUCUAGCAUAUGCAUCAAUUAAUAUUGUUUCAAAAGUGCCCAAUCACAAAAAAUGUAUUUAACAAACCAAACCCUGCCUUUUCACCUAGAAGAUCUAAUCUUGUUUUUCUCAUCCUGUCAAAUUUUGACAUGUUAUUUAUCUUUCUAUUAAAGCUUCAAUAGAAACGUUUCUUUAACUUAGUCCUCAAGCUGCUAUAACUUCUUCACUCGUUCAAUACAAAGAAGAAAAAUUGGGUCAUUAUCGAGAUUAAAAUCAAUUCCUUCCUUCUCAUUUAUUGUACAUGAAAUAUUGAAUAAAAAAAAUUACAUUAUUGAUACUUGUAUUAAAGGGUCGUAGACAAUACAUAAAAAGCAACAUUGAGGGAUACAUUAGAGAUAUGAUUGUAAAUAUAUUUGUUUUAAAAUCAAUAAAUUGAUUACUCCUCAUUAUCAUAAUCUAAUUAUCUUCAGGAAGUCUGAGUGAAAGUUCCAAUAAGGAUAUAUUUUUCAGAAAAUGACAAAUUUGCUACUCAACUACUUGAGGAUCACAUUGUAACCUUGCAAAUUUAAAAGAAAAAUCAUUUUCUUUUUCUAUUCACUUUGAUAGUGAAAUGAAUAAGACUAUCCAAGGCAAGCUAAACCCAGAUAUCUUCUAAGUUUCAUCUUAUUUGUUUUGGCUUUACUCCUAUACAAAGGCAAACUAAGAUAAAUUUAGGCCUGGAAUUGGUUCUGUAGCCAAAAAUACGAGUGAUAAAUUGACCAUAAAUGAACAAAAUGGAGUAAAACAGAUAGAUAUCAAGGGGGUAAACUCGUUGAUUAGGCUAUCCCUAUCUAAUACCAUGAUUACAAGUACUAUUGGAGCUCUUGUUGUCAAACAAAUGAGAACCAGCAGCCGGAGAAGAAUCUUAUGAUCCAUAUAGCAAAAGCAAGGACUUAAACAACUGUCACAUUGUUUGCAAACAAAAUCAUAUCAAAAUUAAUACGAUACAAGAAAUACUUAUCUGUUAAGUUCUGCCCGUGAUGGAACAACUGGUACCAGAAAAUUCCCAUACCAUGAAUCAAAUUUCUUAAAAUUUCCAGUGCAGCCGUCUUGUUGUGCUUGAGCUACAGCAAAAUUUUUUUCUUGUUGGAUUCUGAAACUAUUAAUUUCACUUGUUUGUACACCUGGAACCUGAUCGGAUAGACAUAUUAUAACUUAAACAAGGUUUAAAAAGGGUAGAAAAAUGAAACAUCAUGAGAAUAGAAGCAGGAGAAAAGGCUUUACCCUCGAACUACACGUUGGUUUUGCAUCUUUGGGAGUCUUUGAAGCAGGUGAAGCAACAGUCCUACAAAAAUAAAACAAAAUCCCAAGUAAGGACUCAUCAUGAGUUUAUUCUUCAUGCGCCAUGGCAUAUGAACAAUUUAACAACAGAAUGAAACAACAUGAUGCAACAAACUGGCAAGAAUUUAAGCUCUCUUUGUUAGAGUGGUGCUAUCCCACAUUAGUUUAAUUUUUGAUUGUCCAUGAUCUCACAUUCAAGUUAGACUUUUCCACCUAUUACCAAUUGGCUUUAUCUUAGAUGCUUAACAUGAUAUUAAAGAACAAGUUUGGUAAUGUUUUUCUUUCUUGUUAUUCUCAUCUUUUACCUCUUCCAAUUUUGUAAUAUGAUAGGGUCUUCCAUCUCCAACUACAUACAUGGAUGGGUGCCUGUUAAAGUGGGUUUAUCCCAUAUUAGUUAAAUCCUAGAUUGCCUAUAAUGUUAUAUUUUAGAUUGAAUGCUUAACAUUCUUUUUCUUGUGGAAGCUUUGGCACAUUGCUUGUGAGAUUGGAACUUCAGGCAGGGGAUAUGAAAUAAGAACCAAAUCUUUUCUUCUAUUUAGCAAGAAACGGGUAUAUGCUGGUUUUACGUCUGAUUGUACUCUGUACUGAUAUGAUUAUAAUUAUAGUUAUGCGGACAUGCAUUUUUUUGUGAUUGUACUUGUAAACUCCUUCUCAGAAAAAAGUGUGUUGAGAGCGACUAUCUACUUUCGACUGUCUCACUCCCUCAACGGAAGAUAUUGUCUCCGCGUCAGGGUUUGGUCUCCCAUACUCUAAGAAGAGCCCAAAGGGGCUCACAGAGUUUAGUGAUUGCCUCGGCUAGUGGAGAUACAACAUGCAAACUCACGGGAGAAGUGUCAGUACUGUGCAAAAUUUUAAUUAUGCAUAUUGCGCCUUAAGGGAUUCGAACCACCAACCUUCGCAUCCAUGGUACCACUUGGCCCACAGGCACAAUAUGCAUAAUUAAUAUUUUACACAAUAUUGACACUUCCCUCGUGAGCUUGCAAGUCGUAUCUCACCAACUGAGGCACUUUUUAAACUCCGUGAACCCAUUUGGGCUCUGCUCAGAGUACAAGAGAAAGAACCGCGACACAGGAACUAGACAUUCCGUUGAGGGAGUGACACGUUCCAAAGCAGAUACUUGCUCUCAACAAAUUGUCUUGGAUAUUUCAAUUUCAUCCCAAACCCUAGUUUGCCAAUUCACAUAAUUUCUCCAUCUAUUAUCAGCUUAUCCUAUGCAUCAAUUCCCAAAUACAAAACAAAUGAUGAAAAUUGAAUUCUAAAUGGAAUCCCAUCCUUCAAUAAAAAUUAAAGUUGAAUUCUAAAGCAGACAACUUACAAUUUACCAAAAGGGAAAAACAAAAUUUCAGUGAAUAAUCUCAUGCUUUCCAACACACACUCUAAAAAGCAAGCAUCAAGCAACUCAGAUGAGCAUAUUUUUCUCAAUAGAAAGAAACACAUAAAAGAAAAACGAAAACCCAAGAGCGCAGCGAGGCGUAUAAAGAACAUUACCGGCGAGGCGGUGGCUUAUGGAUUUUCCUCUUCUUGAGUUCAGGUCCUUCCAUUCUCUCGCGAAUACCGGCUUUCAAAUUUUUCCAAAUUUAUACGAACAGUUGGUGAUAUAGAUCAUGGGUCAUCCCGCAAUAAUAAACUAUUGCGAGUAUAAGGCCCAAAACUAUUAGGGUUGUCGGGUAUGGUCAGGCCCAUAUUUGAAGUGUUCAUAUCCACGUUUGUUUCCACCGGAUAAAUAAACAUCAGGGUUCUCAAUCUUUCACUCCAAAAUAUUGGUGGUGCUAUUUCGUUUUAAUCGAAUUAAUCUAUCGAAAUUUAAUUUUGAUUUUAAACAAAUAUUUAAUUAUAGAUUUAUUUGUUGCAUUAAUCAAAUUAAAUUAUAUUGAAAUAAUCAAGAUUUGAUAUUUAAGUGUUAUUUUAGUUAUCAGUUAAAUUUAAUCAUGUUGAUGUGUAAAAUUAAUAAGGUAGAGAAAUAAAGGAGGAAAUGGAGGUGUUGAUAGAGGUUAGUUCAUCCUGUUUGGACGGAGAACUGGAGAGUAUAAAGAAUAAAGACAGUAGAAGUGUGAACUGGAAGUAGAAUGAUAACUAGUAUGCUUAGACAAUAGAUCCCUACUCCAUUAUCUUGAAGGAUAUUUAUAAGUAAAGUUUCGUGUUAGGUGCUAUUAAUGUGACAAAUCCAUUAUUAGGCCAUAAUUAUUGGAUGUGUAGGGAAAUGCCCGUAAUGGGAUGCAUUAUUAUUCUCCUUAAGUUGUGGUACAGAGUAAUUAAACACAUGUAGAGUUUGGUGAUCAAAAUGAUCACAUCCUUAACAAAAGAUUAGGUAACUGGAGGAAUGAGUGGCUAGUUUCAUUGCACAAUUACCUCCCGCUUGACUGGGUAAUCGAGACAAAAGGUUGAACUUCUGAUGACUACCUGUUACCAUGUGUCUCAAGGUAGGGAAGGUAUAACAAAUCAUGUUAAGCUUUUAUAUAUAUAUAUAUAUAUUAUUUUAGAUUUUUAAUAUGCAUUAAUUUGAUAAUUGAUAGCAGUUAUAAUCUUUAUUCUCUUUUGCUUUUCAUUUAUUUUCAUAAUUUUGUUGGAUAUAUAGAACUCUCUAUUUAAAAAAAUUAAAGAAUUAUUAAUUUUGUUUCGUUACAUACUUCAAAUUAGAUUAAAUAAUAGUACACUCACAAUGUGGAUUAUAAUUUACAUAUAGUACACUCACGAUGCGGAUUACAAUUUUAUGUAAUAAUUUUUAAAAAGAAUUGAUAUAACACUUAAAAUUAAUUUUAAUUAAAAUAGUAAAAUAAAAUUAUUAAAAAUCAUAUUUUUUGGGUUUGAAUCCACUAAAUAUGUAUAAGUACUUUUUAAAAUUUUAUAUUGAAAGACAAAUUUGCUUUAAAAAUAACAUCUACUGUUCUAUAAAAAUGAUUAACUUUUAGUAAAUUCUCCAUUGAAUAGGGAUUUGGUUGAAAUGUGACAUUUAUGUUGGAACAUUUUUAAAAUAUAUAGAGUGUUUCAAUAGUUAUAAAUAAAAAGUUAUAAGUUACCAAAAGUUAUGUCACUUAAUUAAUAAUAAAGGGUAAUAAUUAUUCAAGUAGAUAUCUAUUGAAUAAUUAUGUUUAUGACUAAAGAUAUGACUAUCCAUUUGUGUAAUUAUAUCCCUAUGAGGAGACAUGAGAUUUCUUAUAAAUAGGAGUGAAAUUUCAUUUUCAGGGUAUACCUAUAAAGAAUUACUGCAAUUUUUUUUUAUAGAAAUUGAUAUUAUUGUUUUGCUUCGCUCAAUACUCAGUGGACUGUUACUGUCAGUGCAAAAUGUCGAUAAUCAUUAGUGGUUCAUUGCACCCUCGAGGUUUAGUUUCCAAUAACUCUUUUGCACAUGGUGAGGGCGCAUAGAACCUUAAAAAAGUGACAUUGAUACAAGCUUUAGAGCUUUCAUUCAUUUCACAUAAGCUUAUUUGAUCCUCACACACCUACAAUUUACUUAAUAAAAAAUUAAAUAUUAAUAAAUAUAAAUCUAUUCAAAAGGUGGUUACAAAACUCGUACAAUGCAAAAGCGAAAGCUUAAGAGAUAACAUUCAAAGAGGUGCAGAUAAAAUAGCAAAUGUAGCAUCAACCCCUAAGUUGCAUUGUAGUUGGUUUAAAUAUUUUGUUUCUUAUCUUAUAAAAUAGAUUGUUUUGGUUAAAAAAAUUUGAAUAAAUUAAUCAAAAUUAUUUUAAUUGAAUAAAUUUAUUCUUAAUUGGUUUUGGUUUGAAUUGGAGUUAAUUUGAUUAAUCGAAAUAACCCCAUAAAAUAUGAUAAUAAAAAAUAAAAGAGAGCAAUGAAUGACAUCAUAUUUCAAACACACCCUAUAAUCGUAUUUGCUAUAUAAUAUCUAUUCACAACUUAUUUUCAACAUUGACUUAAAAAGAAACAAACGAACAAUAAAAGAAUCAUAUAUAUCAAACAAAUAUAUUGAUUUAUAUGCAAUUAGUGAAUAUCACAUGCAAUGAAUGGGUGAUAGUAUGAAAAGUCUUAGCUAUGCCUACUAUUAUUAUUGCCUAAACAUGUUCCUUCCAUUUGUAUAUAUACAUAAAAUAAUAAGGGGAUUGGGUGGUGGAGGCCCUGGACCCGUGCUGCUUUGCACCAAGUGACCGAGUAGGAGACAAGGUUGAAUCAUUGUGUUUCUCAACGCAAAAACAUAGAUUUGCCUCACUUAUUCAACUUCAACUAUGUCAUUCCCAACCCCACCUUGCAUAAUUUCUUACUUUUAUUUUAAUAUUUAAUCAUUCACUCUAAAUAAUUAAUAUCACUUACAUGAAAUCUCCCUCAUCAUACACUUAACUAAUCAAUAUUAUUACAUAUGCACACAUAGUAAGGACAUACUUGUGUCAUGAGAUUAGAACUUAAGUCUGGCAAACCAUAUGGUCUUAGAUGAUUUCUUUGUUUUAAAUCAACCUAAGUCAACCUAACUCUCGAAAAGUAAGAAUUCUCUUAAAAAUACUCUAAGGCAUCGAAAAUAAAACAGAAGCAAUUCAAAAGAGAAAGGAACUUAAAUUGAACAGAAAAGCCACAGUAAAAUAAUGCACACAAUGUAUUUGAGUAAAUACUCUAAAUAUAUUCUUUAACUAUCAAUGGAAUAAUUACAAAUGAGAGGUAAUGCCUCUAUUUAUAGUUAAACUCCUCUAGACCUAAUAAUACAGAUUGAAUUAUAUCAACGGCUGAAAUUAGUACUUAUCUACAAUAUAAGAGUCCUAAGGAAUUUAAACUCUAUACAUCUUCUGGUAACUCUAGUUUUACUGGUAUGUUUCACUAGGUAACUAACGCUUCAGGUAGAUGGAUUUUUUCAUGUGUUCCACGAAUCGGGUUAGUUCAAAUGGGUCAAAUGAGCCCCAUUUAAUUAGUUGAUCUCUAUGGGAUGCUCUGUGUGCAUUUGUCAUGGACUUUGAUUCUUGGCUUGCAACAUUGCACUACACAUGUAUACACUACGUCUAAAGAGAGAUGUCCAAAUAAAGAUCUAUCACUUGCUCCACUAGGAGUUUGAAUCCAAUUGAAUUCUAUAAGUAAAUAGCCAUUGAUCACCAAUUACAUCUUCUAUCAUUUCUGCAUCACUCAAGGAACCUAAACAUUUAAGAAUAAUAAUAAUAAUAAAAGUGUUGGUUCAUUUUUGUGGAACAUGAACAUGUUGACGACUACAACUCCUUUGAAGUGUCUAAAUCUAAUCAAAGCAACCCCAUUAGCCAAUUUGCGUGUUGUUUUCUUCCCAGCGUGUUGAGUAUAGAAGACCAAUAAGUAAGUAAGUCAAACAUUGUUGCUAAAGUAGUCGCACUCAAAAGUGUAUGAUCUCCAAUUACUAAAUAAAAAUAACUUAAAUAUUUAAGAUCAAACCAAAUCACAUAUCAUAUUUUGAUGCGUAUAUUGUGUGUGCAACUUUUUUGUUGCUGCUGAAAAAGGAUAAAUCAAAGGCAUGGAGAAGAAGUUGGAUUUGAAAACGGGAAGGGAAAGUGGAAUAAUUAAGACAAGAAUAAUGUCUCACAAACCAUGUGCAGAGAUGCGCCCCACGUGGGAUAGGAUAUGACAUACGUGUGGGUCUCUUCUCUUACAACUUGGUCCUUGCUUUUCCUGUUCUUUUUUGAUGACCCAUGCAUUUUUACAAGGCACCAGCUCAAACCCACACCAGAAAAAGCUUGCAAGCGAAAAGGAAGGUUAGGGUAAGAUAAGCUUUCAAGUACCAUCCACAAAAGACUUUCAAAUUGAAUAUAUACGAGGAAAUCAGAAUAUAUGCCUAAUAAAGUACCUUCGACAUUGUUUUCCAUGUGCCUGCAUGCAUGCAAGUGAAACCAUGACAAAUUAAAAAGUUUACGCAUAGUCUCAUCUAAGUUAUUUCAUCAUUGACAGAACAAGUUCCUGUAUAUUAAUUAACUAUAGCUAAUUGCUCAUUGUUUAACAAAACUUCUUUUUUCCUUAAUUGAUCUGUCAUUUGUAGAAGAGUCUUGGCCUCAUUUAACUAAUACUGGUCAGGGAUGAUAUAUAUAUAUACAAGUAGAAAUAAAGAAGGGAUGGAUGGUUAUCUUAUUCUUACCCCAAAAGGGGAAUGAAAUCAAAUGGUCCAAAACGAAGCAGCAGGGAGCAGGGAUUCUAGAGAGGAAAAAAAAAAAAAAAGAAGAGAGAAAUCUUUUUUGCAGGGGAAAGGAGCCCACAAAGAAAGGGACCUUACAGCAGAGGGCGCUCCCGUUAUAGAAACACAAGAAAUGGUGCAGGAAGUAGAAGGCCAGCCAGUGACAGAGAGUGUCAGAUGGGGAAAGGAAGAAAGGGAAGGUGGGAGGGAGCAGCCAAAUAUGUGGGUCAUAAGUAUUCACUAUAAAAGCUUGUUUUCCUUUUCCUUAACACAACACGACACAUCACUCCAUUUCACCCAACUCAACAUAGACAGGGACAUAAAAUGAGAGAGAAAACAUGAAUGAAACAAAAUCAAGGAAGAAUGUGGCUGCAUGCAGUUUAUAAUUACUUUUGUACUACUUACUAGAUAUCAUGUAUAUGUAUUCCGGUGUUUCGUUUCACCCAGAAAUAUGUGUAAUUUCUCAUCCUUUGUGGGGACGAGAAAUGGCGUGGUGGGGAGAAAAGGCAGCAACAGCAUUUGUGGUAGUGAAAUGAAUCCAAGUUUGUUUUAGCAGAUGCGAAACGUAGGGUAGGGUAGGGACCUUGGUGUUAGGAUCGUUCCGAAUAAGCAACGAACAAGUAAAAAUAGUAGAAGAAAUUGAGAAGAUGAACACACAAAUUUAACGUGGAAAAACCCCUCAAAAGAGGAUAAAAAACCACGGGCAAAGAUAAUUUUACUAUAAUGGCAAAAGAAUGAAGAGUACAAAAGAUGGAGAUAAAAACUAAACCCCGAAAACCCGAAAAACAAAGAACCCUCAAACGUAAACACAAAAUUCUCUGAAUGUGUUAUGAGUUCUAAUCUAAUGGGUGUCUCUUAAUUCUAAGAUUGUAAAGGAGCCUAUUUAUAGGCUAAAUUAGUAAGUCAAAUAAACUAUACUAAUAAAUGCUAAAUAUAUUAUACUAAUAAAUACUAAAUCUUCUAGAAAGAAUAUAUAUUUUUGUUUAACUUGACUUGCAAGCAAUCUCUUAGAAUUUGGGUCACACAAUUCUAACAAUUUCCACCUUGACACGAAUUCUUUCAAUGCCAUCUUUGCCAAAACCCGCCACGGGCCUAUCUUGAACUAUGCAGGGAAUUAACUGAGUCGAAUCUAUGCUUAGAAGGUGGAAGACUUCUAGCCUUCGACUUGUGCACUGCCAAAUCAAAACUAACCCGGGUCUGAUUUUUACGAAUACAGUGCCCUAACUUUUCAAAACCUGCAUCCAAAAGAGAACCUCUCUUCAACGAAACGGUCAUACCUUUUUCCCUCCUAUGACCAAGUUGCCUCCGCUUCAAAUGAGUUGACUUUGACUCCGUAACGGACGAGGGACGUCCGAUUUCACCGGUCACUGUAGAACCUUCCAGAAUAUAAAGACUGCCGGUUAUUUUACCUUUUAACAAAACGAGAGCUCCACGAGAUACUUUAAUGUCGCUCGACUCGAUGUUGAUUCUGCAUCCUUUCAAGUCUAAAAUACUCAAGGAAAUGAGAUUCUUUCGUAAAUCAGGUACAUACCUGACAUCUGAGAGUGUCCUAAUCGUCCCAUCGUGUAUCCUAAUUUUAACAGUACCAAUACCGAUUAUUUUACUAGAUGAAUCGUUUCCCAUGUGCACAACUCCACCUUCAACUGAACUGUAUGUGGAGAACCAUUCUCUAUUGGGACACAUGUGGAAAGAACAUCCUGAAUCUAGGAUCCACUCAGACGUAAGCUUGGAGUUAUCGCUCGUUGACACUAACAAGAAAUCAUCACCGCCUUCAUCGACCAAAUUAGCACCAGCUACAUCUUCCUCGUUACUCUCAGCAGCUCUUUUAUUUCGCAGUUUAUAACAAUCUGCUUUGACGUGACCUAACUUUUUGCAAUAACGACACCUUUUGUCUCGUUUCUUUGAUGCUACCAAAACGGAAGCUUGUCUAUCUGCUUUGCUAUUCAAAUCAAACUCAUUGUCGAGUUUGUCUCUACUCAACAAAUGACCCUUCACAUCUUCGAACGAGAGUUUGUCUCUGCCAUAAAUCAGGGUCUCCCUGAAAGACUUGUAUGAAGAGGGUAAAGAGCACAAUAAUAGCAUAGCUUGAUCUUCAUCGUCAAUAUGAACCUCAACGUUCUUUAAAUCAUUUAAAAGAGUAAUGAAUUGACUGAUGUGAUCUUUAAGAAGCUCACCUUCGUUCAUGCGAAACGUAAAUAGACGUUGUUUCAACACUAAACGGUUAGCCAGAGACUUAGUCGCAUAAAGAGUUUCUAACCUUUUCCACAAGGCGAAUGAGGUCUUCUCCAUCAAUACCUCCUGCAAUACUGUAUUCGCGAGGCACAACUGGAUUGCAGACAAGGCCUUUUUCAUCAAGCUCUUCCCAUUCUGUUUGAUUUAGAUUCUUAGGCUUUUUCCCUGUAACAACCUUUUUCAAGCCAUUUUGAACUAGAAUUGCCAUCAUCCGAACUUGCCACAGAUUGAAAUUUGUCUCACCAUCGAACUUCUCAAUUUCAAACCUUGUUGCUGCCAUCUCUGACCGGGCUGAUCUAUGAAAGUUAAACUAGCUCUGAUACCACUUGUUAGGAUCGUCCCGAAUAAGCAACGAACAAGUAAAAAUAGUAGAAGAAAUUGAGAAGAUGAACACACAAAUUUAACGUGGAAAACCCCCUCAAAAGAGGAUAAAAAACCACGAGCAAAGAUAAUUUUACUAUAAUGGCAAAAGAAUGAAGAGUACAAAAGAUGGAGAUAAAAACUAAACCCCGAAAACCCGAAAAACAAAGAACCCUCAAACGUAAACACAAAAUUCUCUGAAUGUGUUAUGAGUUCUAAUCUAAUGGGUGUCUCUUAAUUCUAAGAUUGUAAAGGAGCCUAUUUAUAGGCUAAAUUAGUAAGUCAAAUAAACUAUACUAAUAAAUGCUAAAUAUAUUAUACUAAUAAAUACUAAAUCUUCUAGAAAGAAUAUAUAUUUUUGUUUAACUUGACUUGCAAGCAAUCUCUUAGAAUUUAGGUCACACAAUUCUAACACUUGGCUUGUGGUGUCCCAAAUGGUUGGGCAAAGAGAACUUUCAGUCGUCCAAUCCAAUAUCAGUCCUUUCAGGGUCUUCAAUCUUCGUCUUCUUCGAUCUCUCUCUCUCUCUUAGCCUGGCCUGGCCUGCUCUGCUCUGCUCUGCUCUGCCCUGCUCGACUCUGUCUCUUCUCCACCGUCCUUCAAGGACUGCCACAAGUAAAAAACGAAGAAUGAAAUCCUAAAGGACAAAAGCAACUUCUUAACUGCACGUGUGACCUGUCACGUGUCUUUUCAUCUCUCUGGUUCUGGUCCUUUUUUUUUUCUUCUUCUUUUCACACUGAUUAUUUCUUUACAUUUUUACUCACUUUUUUUCUUUGCUGAGACGACAAAUGCCUUUAGUUUAAAUCAAUGAACCUUUCUUUUUGACUAAUUACUGAAAAUUUUGUUUAGCUAACGAGUGUGCUAAAGUACUUUAUAGCAUAGCAUUACUGCUGUAUUAAUCAGUAGAAAAAGUAGGAAUUUCAAUAAAGUGCAUAGGUAGACCAAAUUUUUUUAUUUUUAUUGUUGUGAGAUUCGAACCCAUAUCUUUAAAAAGUUUUAGUGUUUUUAUUUUUUUAUUUUUUUGGGAAAUUAUUUAGAUAUACAUUCAAAUUUCAAUGUAUUUUUAUUUAAGUCACAAAUUUUUUUUUUAAAUUUAAUUUCUCUCUUUAAGUCAAUUUUCUAUUUUAAUCAAUUCUGAAAUGGGUUUAUCGAAAGAACAUAGUUUGAUUAAAAUGAGAUUGAUAUCAGGAUAAAUGAAACAGUAAAAAGAGUUAAGAUCACAUGUUAAUUAACAUAUUAUUUUUAAUAAUAAAAUAACUACAUUAAUUAUUAUUUUUACAUUGAUCUGUAUAAUAUUGUAUUAUAAUAAUUCUUUUCUGCCCUUAUUAAAAAUAAAAUAAAAUUUCAGACAUAUUUAAGUAUAUCAAUUACUAAAAAAGGUAAACAACAAAAUGGUAUAGAAAAUAGAAAAAAAGUGAUAGCAGUGCAGAAGUGAGCUGCCGGAGGAGGAGGCCAGAAAUUAUUAAAAAGUCACACCUCCACCAACCUCUCGUGAAAAACUCCAUUUCACUUAUCGGGAAUUGAACCCUCUAUCAAACAACUACAAACCACACACACUACAUAUAUAAUACACAUAUAUACUGCCUACUGCAUAUAUACUAUUGUAUAGGAGACAAAAAAGAAUAGAGUAAAAAAAAAAAACACACACACAACCUCAACUUCUCUAUUAAUAUUGCUGAAAAUCAAACCAAUCUGUCUAUCCUUAAGAGGAAACUUAGCAUCCAUACAAACUAAGAGAGAAAAUAAAAGAGUGAUCUUUACGAGAGUAUCUGAAACGGAAAACAACAAACAGGAUUUGGUUUGAUUCUUUGAUUCCCUCUUCCCUCUUAUCAUCAUCCUCAUCAUGUGUAACCAAACCACCACCGCUUCCAUCCUUACUUCUACUCAGAACUCUUCUCAAACCCACCUUUAUUUCCACCCUGGAAAGCAUAGGCAUCACCAUGACCAUGGAGCUCAUCACCUAUGCGCUUCGAUCUCUGACAUCAUAACUGAAGCUAAAUCACUCUUCAAUCUAGCCUUCCCCAUAGCCUUGACUGGUCUCAUUCUCUAUUCUCGUUCCAUCAUUUCCAUGCUCUUCCUUGGCCAUCUUGGCGAUAUCCAACUGGCUGCCGGUUCAUUAGCUAUAGCCUUUGCUAACGUCACCGGCUACUCUGUCCUUUCCGGCCUUGCUUUAGGUAUGGAGCCACUGUGUUCACAAGCCUUUGGAGCUCAAAGACAUAAACUUUUAUCUUUAACCCUUCACCGCUACGUUAUUUUCCUCCUAUUCGUUUCCAUAUUGAUAUCCUUUCUUUGGAUAAACAUGUUCAACAUUAUGGUUUAUCUUCGUCAAGAUCCUAAUAUCACCCGCAUCGGCCAAAGGUACUUACUGUUUUCCCUACUUGACCUCUUCACCAACUCUUUCAUUCACCCAAUACGCAUUUACCUUCGCGCUCAAGGCAUCACCCACCCGCUCACUUUAGCAACCCUCGCCGCUACCAUUCUCCAUUUACCCAUCAGCUUCUUACUCGUCUCCCAUUUCAACUUGGGCGUCGCCGGGGUAGCCGCUUCUGCUUCCAUCUCCAACUUCUUCGUUCUCGUCUCCCUAGUUGUUCACAUUUGGGCCUCAGGCCUCCACCAUCCCACGUGGGAAAAACCCACUUUGGAGUGUUUAACCGGCUGGAAGCCGCUGCUCAAGCUAGCCGCGCCAAGCUGUGUUUCUGUUUGUUUGGAGUGGUGGUGGUACGAGAUCAUGAUCGUGAUGUGUGGGCUUUUGGUGAACCCGAAGGCGCCGGUUGCUUCAAUGGGGAUAUUGAUUCAAACGACGUCGUUGUUGUACGUUUUCCCUUCUUCGUUGGGUUUCGCAGUUUCGACCCGUGUCGGAAACGAAUUAGGGGCAAACCGUCCUAAUAAAGCGAGAUUAUCGGCUGUGGUGGCGGUUUUCGUAUCAGCCAUGAUGGGCUUAUCAGCGUCGACGUUUGCAUCAGGGAUGAGAAAUAAGUGGGCCAGGAUGUUCACAUCUGAUCCUGAGAUCCUACGGCUGACAUCCAUUGCACUACCUAUCCUAGGGUUAUGCGAGCUGGGGAACUGCCCGCAAACAGUGGGAUGUGGGGUCCUCAGAGGGAGUGCACGUCCUUCCACCGCAGCUAAUGUGAACCUCGGGGCAUUUUACUUGGUGGGCAUGCCCGUUGCGGUCGGACUCGGAUUCUAUGUCGGAGUCGGAUUUUCUGGGGUAUGGUUGGGCCUACUUUCGGCCCAGGUGUGUUGCGCUGGGCUUAUGUUGUAUGUGGUGGGGUCCACUGACUGGGACCUACAAGCCAAGAGGGCCCAGAUGCUGACGUGUGUAGAUACUACAUGGCUACCUCACGAUUUUGAUAACAAUAGUAAGGGUGAGGAAGAACAACAGCCGUUGAUUUGCAGUGUGCUGACUUCAGCUGCCUAAUUAACCUAAAUUAGCAGUAGUAAAUUUAGAAUCUGAUAUUUAUUUAUUUUUAGUAAAUUUAUUUCUUCAUUGCUUGAUAAGAAUUAACAAAUAAAGAAAGGCAAAAAAAAAAAAAAGGUUUUUGUUUUCUCUAUUUCAACAUCUUCAGUAAUACUGCUAUAUAAUUAAAACUAAUGCUAAUUUGUUCUUCAUUUUUAAAUUUUAUUUUAUUUUAAACUUCACUUUCACAUUUUUUUGUUAACCUCAAACCAAGCAAUAACCACAUCUUUAAUUCUUUACAUCAAAUUUAGUUUAAUUCAUUUAAAUAAAUUUAUCAGUUUCUUUUUAUAUUAUAUAAAUAUUUUUUUUCUAUGUAUGUAAUAUAUAAACGCUAGGUAGUGCUAUGAAUAAUAGUUUUAGUUGUGAAUAUAAAAUUACACAAAAUUAAAAUUUACAUUCAACAUUAUGUAUUUGACCAAAGUUUAUUUAUCCUCUCUUUAACUCUAAAUAGGAAGAUAAGUGUACUUUAGCAUAAUUGAAUUUAUGUCCUCUUCUACUGAUAAAAAAUCAAAGUUAAUUAAAUUAAGACUUGAUUAAUUUUUUUAAAAUAAUGAAAUUAUAUUUUAAUAUAUAAAAAUAUUUUUUUUUUAUUUCAAUAGAAAUUUCUACCUUGGUAUACAAUCAAAUUAGAUUUGUUUUUAAAAAGAUGAUAGUGUGGAACUGAGGGAAGUUUGAUAAAGAAGCAAAGAAUAAUGUAGUCCCACCAUGUUUUUAUUUAUUUGGUUAGGGACUUCCUUCUUUUGGAAUUUCAUGGUUUCACCUCCAUUUGAUGUUGUCAACCUUUGUAAUCAGGAUGGAUCUAUAAUUUUACUUUAAGGGGGUAAAUUUAUUUUUAAUGUAAAAAAGUAUUAAUUUUUUCAGAUUUUAUUAAUUUAAUGUUUUUUAAAAAGCACAAAUGAUUUAAUUAUAAAAAAAUUAAAAGAAAAAAUUAUAUUAUACACAAUUAAAUAUUCAUUUCUAAUAAGCAAAAAAGAAUAACUAAUAUUAUGCCAAAAAUUUCAUAAAUAUCAUUAUAAUUCCAAAAAUUAAAUUAAAAAAACUUGACCUUAGUCCUAUUUCUCAAUACUAGGCAUCCUAAAUUGCACCCUCCGCUCUUUCAUAAGAUCGAACUCUUCAAUGAUAGAAUCUGUUGAAAAUUCUCGAGCUAUCUUUUUUUUCAAUAUAUGCCACCAAGUAAGUUGAAAGAAAAUCAUCCUCUAUUCUAUUGCAAAGCAUUGUCUUCACAAUUUUCAUGGCUGAAAAUGAUGAUUUAGUUGUUGCAAUAGACACAGGAAGAGUUAGCAAAAGACGAAUAAUUCUAUUAAGAAGAAAAUAAAUACUUGACGAAUAAUUCUGGAAUUUGACUUUAAAAUCCAUAUUGAGCCUUUAAGUUUAGUUUUUUAAGGCUCAUCAUACAUUAAUAUUUGAUUGUUAUUAAAGUUAUAUAAUUAAAAACUGAAAAAUACUUUGUUAAUAUAAAAUAUAACCUUAUGGCUUAAGGAGACAAAUUAUAUGAAAUACAAUUUGAUCAAAGGAAGCGAAUGUUAUAAAGUGUGCACACCAAAUCUAAAAUAUAUGAUAAUUGAUAUAUAAAAGUUGAAAUUCUAAAAAUUCUAAAAAUUCUAAAGGUGGAAUCACCCCCGCACCUCUAGAUACAUCCCUAUUUGUAACAUUUUUCAUAUUUCAACUAAAUAGAUUUUUUUAUUAAAUUAUACUAAUCAUUAAUAAAUCAAAUGAUGCCAUAGAUCCUUAUGAUUUUAUCAUUUUUAAAGGAUCUUUAUUAUUUUAACCUGUUAGAAUUAAAUGACCCGAAUCCUUCAGUGGUACUAGAAUAUGGCUUUACAAGCCUAUAAAUAGGCAUAGUCUAUUCCUCUUGUAAUCAUUAUAAUUCGACAUAGUGAAUUUUAUUCUCCUCUGCCCGUGGUUUUUUCCAGAAAUGUUUUCCACGUAAAAAUUUGUGUGUUCUUUAUUUAUUUUAUUUUAUUUUAUUUUCACAAAUUGGUAUCUGAGCUUCCGGGUUGUUCAUCUUGAUCACGGCAAUGGCAUCUUUAAAGUAUGAAAUUUCACUGUUGGGUCGCAACACUAGAUUUGCGUUGUGGCAGAUUAAGAUGCCCUACUACGGAUAGCUAAGAUGCCUUCGAUAUUAACAGAUGAAGAGAAGAAUCAUAAGGAUCAAAAGACAUUAACACAAUUACAUCUGCAUUUGUCCAACGAAAUUUUACAGGAUGUGAUGAAAGAGAAGACUGCCACUGUAUUACGGAAGAGGCUAGAAAAAAUAUAUAUGUCGAAAACUCUAACAAGCAAGUUGCAUAUGAAGCAGCGUCUUUAUGCUCAUCGUUUGGAGGAAGGUGCGUCUAUACAUGAACACUUAACAGUGUUUAAAGAAAUUCUCUCAAACUUAGAGGCCAUGGAGGUUCAGUAUAAUAUGGAAGAUCUAGGGUUGAGUCUACUUUGUUCGUUGCCCCCGUCUUAUUCAACCUUUAGAGACACGAUUUUAUACAGCCGUGAGUCUCUCACAGUUGAUGAGGUUUAUGAUUCUUUGACCUCGUAUAAUAAGAUGAAGCAUCUUGUGGUUAAACACGACUCUCAAGGAAAGGGUCUCAUUGUUCGUGGGAGACAAGAUCGAAAUGCUGAUGAUGAUCGUGGAAGGACACAGGAACGAAAUCCUCGCGGUAAAUCUAAGGGUAAAUCAAAGUCUUCAAACAGAGGUAAAACUUGUAACUUCUGCAAGAAGAAAGAGCAUAUUAAAUCUGAGUGCUAUAAGCUACAGAACAAGAUUAAAAGGGAGGCUGCGAAUCAAAAAGGAAAACAACCAGAAAAUUCUCGUGAAGUUAAUGUUGUAGAAGACUACAGCGAUGGUGAACUUUUAGUCGCUUUGGUCAACAAUUCUAAAGUGAGCGAUGAGUGGAUACUUGAUUCAGGCUGUACCUUCCACAUGAGUCCUAAUCGGGAUUGGUUUACAACUUACGAAACAGUCUCUGAAGGUGUUGUUUUGAUGGGAAAUAAUGCUUCGUGUAAAAUUACAAGUGUUGGAACAAUUAAAGUUAAGAUUUUUGAUAGAGUUUUCAGAACACUUAGCGACAUACGACAUGUUUCAGAAUUGAAAAGAAAUUUAAUUUCGUUGAGUACUCUUGAUUCAAAAGGGUACAGAUACACAACUGAAAGUGGGGUAUUAAAGAUUUCCAAAGGUUCUCUUGUUGUGAUGAAAGGGCAGAGAAAGACUGCCAAGUUAUAUGUUUUGCAAGGUUCUACUAUUACUGGUGAUGCAGCUAUCGCUUCCUCUUCCUUGUCAGAUGAUGAUAUUACUAAACUUUGGCAUAUGCGGCUAGGGCAUAUGAGUGAGAAUUGCAUGGCAGAAUUAAAAAAAAGAGGUCUUCUUGAUGGGCAAGAAAUUUGCAAACUGAAUUUCUGUGAGCACUGUGUUUUUGGGAAGCAAAAGAAAGUUCGAUUCGCCAGAAGAAUCCAUAACAUGAAGGGAACAUUAAAGUAUAUUCAUUGUGAUCUAUAGGGACCAUCCAGAGUGCCUUCGAGAGGUGGAGCUAAUUAUAUGCUAACCUUUAUUGAUGAUUUUUCCAAAAAAGUUUGAGCGUUCUUCUUGAAGCAGAAAAUCGAUAUGUUUUUUGCAUUUAAGUCUUGGAAAAUUAUGAUUGAAUAACAGAUGAGAAAUAAAAUAAAAUACCUCCGUACAGACAAUAGCUUAGAGUUCUGUUCUGAUGAGUUUAAUAGAUUGUGCAAGUUAGAAGGGAUCGUGAGACACUUGACAGUUCGCCAUACUCCACAGCAAAAUGGCGUUGCAGAACGAAUAAACAGAAUGAUCAUGGAGAAAGUUCGAUGUAUGUUGUCAAACACCAACUUACCAAAGUCGUUUUGGGCCGAAGCAACCUCUACUGUAUAUUUUUUUAUCAACCGAUCCCCAUCCGUUGCCAUUGAGAAAAAGACUCCGCAAGAGGUAUGGUUUGGUAAUCCUGCAAAUUAUUCUGAUUUAAAGAUUUUUGGGUGUCCUGCGUAUGCUCAUGUUGAUAAUGGAAAAUUGAAACCGAGAUCCAUUAAAUGUGUUUUUCUUGGUUAUAAAGCUAGUGUAAAAAGGUAUAAGUUAUGGUGUCCUAAAAAUAGAAAAGUUGUGAUUAGCAGAGAUGUUGGUUUUGAUGAAACUGCUAUGCUGCCUAACUUAUCUCUUAAAUACUCUUCCAAUAAAGAAAAUAAAAAGCAGGUGGAGCAUCAUAUUAAUACAGAGUCGACUCCUCAAGCCAGUACAAAAAUUGAUAAUAGAGUUGCUUCUUCACCGCAAUACUCUAUUGCUAAAAACAGAACUAGAAAGAAAUUAAACUUCCAAAAAAUUAUGCUGAGGCUGAUCUAGUUGCUUAUGCUAUAAAUGUGGCUGAAGAUAUAGAUGGGAAUCAAGAGCCAUCUAAUUAUUCUGAGGCGGUUAGCUGUGAAGACGCAGAAAAGUGGAUGUUUGUUAUGCAAGAAGAGAUGGAAUCACUCCACAAAAACAUAACAUGGGAUCUUGUGAAGCUUCCUAAAGGUAAAAAGGUUAUUCGUUGUAAAUAGGUGUUUAAAAAGAAAGAAGGGACUCUAGGAGUUGAAGAACCCAGAUAUAAAGUACGGCUUGUUGCAAAGGGUUACAGUCAAAUUCCAAGAGUGGACUUCAUAGAUGUGUUCUCCCCAGUUGUUAAGCAUAGUUCGAUUCGAGCUUUACUUGGUAUUGUGACCAUGCAUGAUUUGGAGCUUGAGCAGUUAGAUGUAAAAACUGCAUUUUUGUAUAGAGAACUUGAUGAGGAUAUUUAUGUAACACCCCUAUCCCGUAACCGUCGCCGGAAUCGGACGAGGAGUUACCAGACAAUUUGGAAGCAGAUCAAAACAGUAAAAUUUUGAAAGUAUGAAUUGAAUAAAUGAGAUAUUAAAUUGAGAUAUGUGAAUAUGUGAAUUGUGUAUUGAUUGAAAAGUGGUUUGAAUUGAAUCGAAGUAUGAUUAUAUGUGAAUAUCUGAAAUAUGUAUUGGUAUUGAAUUGUAUAUUGAUUUGAAAGUGGGAAGUGAAUCUGAGUUGAAUUGCGAUUAAAUCGAAAGUGAAUUUGAAAUAGAAAAAUGUAUUGAAACAAAUGGUGAUUAAAUGGGAAUGAUUUGAAUUGAAAGUAUGAGAAAGUGAUUGAAUUGAAAUGUGAUUCGGAAACCCUAUUAACUAGUCGGGCUGAGUCGGAUAUAGUUGGCAUGCCAUAGGAUUGGAAGAGUUCAGGGAUACUUCGACCUUGAGUCGAUGAGACACUGGGUGUCACUAUAUUUCUUCGGAUAGAUUCGAUGAGGUACUGGGUACCAACUUUACUUCGGCUGGGCCGAUGAGACACUGGGUGUCAACUAUUGCUUCGAACUAUCCGAUGAGGCACUGGGUGCCAUUUUGGUGUGUUUGGUUGGAUCCGUGUAUCCGCCAAGGUCCGAGUCUUGUUAAUAGGGGUAAAUAAUUGAAAUGAGAAAAUUGAAUAAAUGUGAUUGAUUGAGCUAUGGGAAGAAACGAAAAAGUGAAGUUGUGAAUUGAUGUGUGAAUUGGAAAUCGAAAUAAGAGAUUUAAAGAUAUGAGCCCAAAGUUUAUGAUGUGAUAAAGAGUAAAUUUUGUUAUAUGAUAUUAGUGAGUACAAAUUGCAAUAAAAUUUAUAUUGAAUAUAAAUUAAAUGAAAUGAAUUGUAUAUGAAUUGAAAUGAACUAUUGGAAUGAGAUGUAAAGAAAAAUCCAAUAGAAUUGAGAUAGUGAAAUAAGGUAUGAAUACAAUUAAAUACAAGAUUUGAAUUAUAGCUUAUUGUUAUUAAUUAUCAAGUUGAUUUAAUGCAUGAGAUAAUUAAUGAAUAAUUGUAGACAUAAAUAAAAUGUAUAUAAUUUAUCGAUUAAUGUUAUUAAUUCGAAUUAUGGUAAUACCACUGAGUAUUUCCAUACUCAGCGUACGGUUGUUUCCGUGCGCAGGUUAGGUCAAAGUCGGAUUGUUGAAUCAGCAUCCAAAGCCGAUUCUGAGCUAAUUGUGGUGGUGAACAUUUCUUUUAGUUAUGGCAUGUAUAGGAAUUUAGUAAUUUUGUAUAUUUGUAAAUAUGAUUUCACUAUAGAAUGAUGUGUAAGUAUUUGAUGAUGAAUGGUUGUUUAAAUGGUCAAGGAUGAAGUUAAUUAUUGUUAUAAAAGUCUAAGUGAUAAAUUAGGUAUGAAAGUCAUAAAAUGGUAAAAUUUUGCAAAGAAACAGAAUUCAGGCAGCAAUAGUGACGUGAAUUUGAAAAAUCACCCAAGAUAGUAUAAAAUGAAUUAGAGGGUGAAUGAUAUAUGGAAUUAAAGCUUGUUGAGUCUAUUUUCAUGGAAAAAUAACGGUGUAGAGAAAAGAAAUUUAUAUUUUAAGAUAUGUGAAUUUUAGUAAGAUAGGGUCAGAACUGUUUUUGGAGUCCCCUGUUCUGAGUUUAGAAAAUAAUUACAAAUUGUACAAAAAUGGUUAUGAGUUGAAAUUUACAUGCUUAGAUUCCUUAAUGAGUCUAUUUUCUAUAGAAACAAGUAAGAACUUCAUAUGAAAAUCCUAUAGUGAGAAAACUUAUUUUUAGUGACUAGAGGUCAGGGCAGUCUGGUGGUGACACAGGGGAGACUUUAACUAAUAAACUGUACUAAUUUGCUGAACCAAAAAUUCUAAAAAUUUUAUGGUGAGUAUAUAUAUGAGUCUAGUUUCAG
rnacentral:lncRNA from 1 species